AAUUCGAUUAGUUUGAUCAUGGCUCAGAACGAACGCUGGCGGCGUGGAUAAGACAUGCAAGUCGAACGGGAUUAUUUCUGUAGCAAUACAGGAAUAAUUUAGUGGCGAACGGGUGCGUAACACGUGGGCAAUCUGCCGAGAAGUGGGGGAUAGCUCGCCGAAAGGCGAAUUAAUACCGCAUGUGAUGAGAGACGACAUCGUCUUGAAUUCAAAGCCGGGGCAACCUGGCGCUUUUUGAGGAGCCCGCGGCCUAUCAGCUAGUUGGCGAGGUAACGGCUCACCAAGGCUUUGACGGGUAGCUGGUCUGAGAGGACGACCAGUCACACUGGAACUGAGACACGGUCCAGACACCUACGGGUGGCAGCAGUCGAGAAUUUUUCUCAAUGGGGGAAACCCUGAAGGAGCGACGCCGCGUGGAGGAUGAAGGCUUUCGGGUUGUAAACUCCUGUCAUUUGAGAACAAGUGUGGGCAAGUAACUACUGCCUACUUGAUAGUAUCAGAAGAGGAAGAGACGGCUAACUCUGUGCCAGCAGCCGCGGUAAUACAGAGGUCUCAAGCGUUGUUCGGAUUCAUUGGGCGUAAAGGGUGCGUAGGGUGGCGCUGUAAGUCGGGUGUGAAAUUUCGGAGCUUAACUCCGAAACUGCAUUCGAUACUGCGGUGCUUGAGGACUGGAGAGGAGACUGGAAUUUACGGUGUAGCAGUGAAAUGCGUAGAGAUCGUAA
rnacentral:rRNA from 1 species